rnacentral:rRNA from 1 species
AUUGAACGCUGGCGGCAGGCCUAACACAUGCAAGUCGAGCGGAUGACGGGAGCUUGCGCCUUGAUUCAGCGGCGGACGGGUGAGUAAUGCCUAGGAAUCUGCCUGGUAGUGGGGGACAACGCUUCGAAAGUAACGCUCAUACCGCAUACGUCCUACGGGAGAAAGCAGGGGACCUUCGUGCCUUGCGCUAUAAGAUGAGCGUAGGUCGGAUUAGCUAGUAGGUGAGGUAAUGGCUCACCUAGGCGACGAUCCGUAACUGGUCUGAGAGGAUGAUCAGUCACACUGGAACUGAGACACGGUCCAGACUCCUACGGGAGGCAGCAGUGGGGAAUAUUGGACAAUGGGCGAAAGCCUGGUCCAGCCAUGCCGCGUGUGUGAAGAAGGUCUUCGGAUUGUAAAGCACUUUAAGUUGGGAGGAAGGGCAGUAAGUUAAUACCUUGCUGUUUUGACGUUACCGACAGAAUAAGCACCGGCUAACUCUGUGCCAGCCGCCGCGGUAAGAC